UAAAAGCACUAUUUUACUGUAGGCAUUCCUGGACCAUGGAAUACUAGAGAGUCCUGAAAUGGUUGUUGCCCUGAUGCAAAAGAGUCCAGAUGGUGAUAUUAUAGAUUGUGUUUUGUCUCAUCAACAACCAACUUUUGACCAUCCUCAGUUGAAGGGACGAAAGCCAUUGGAAUAGGCCAAAAACUCAUAAAGAUCAUCCUAAUAGUACUAUGAUGAGGACUCAGGAGCUACCAAAAUAUUGAGUAUACUAACAGAAGCAAUAGCAAUUGGAAGAACAUUUGCAGCCAUGAAGGACUAUCAAAUUGAUGGCAACAAAGAAAUGGUGGCAUUAGGAACAAUGAACAUUGUUGGUUCUUUGAUCUCUUGUUAUGUAGCUACAGGUGAUCUAGUAAUAGUCGCUAAAAAUUAA